AAUGGGUGGGAAAGAAUCCCUAGGUAAUCCCAAGUAGAAUACAGUUAAAACUGCUGUGAUAGCCCAAGGGACUCCAGAGAUACAGGCAUUUUUACCCAUUUUAAAAAAAAAUAACUGGGAGGGG